rnacentral:rRNA from 1 species
CCUACGGGCGGCAGCAGUGGGGAAUAUUGGACAAUGGGGGGAACCCUGAUCCAGCCAUGCCGCGUGUGUGAAGAAGGCCCUCGGGUUGUAAAGCACUUUCAGUGAGGAAGAACGCCUGGUGGUUAAUACCCAUCAGGAAAGACAUCACUCACAGAAGAAGCACCGGCUAACUCCGUGCCAGCAGCCGCGGUAAUACGGAGGGUGCGAGCGUUAAUCGGAAUUACUGGGCGUAAAGCGCGCGUAGGUGGCUUGAUAAGCCGGUUGUGAAAGCCCCGGGCUCAACCUGGGAACGGCAUCCGGAACUGUCAAGCUAGAGUGCAGGAGAGGAAGGUAGAAUUCCCGGUGUAGCGGUGAAAUGCGUAGAGAUCGGGAGGAAUACCAGUGGCGAAGGCGGCCUUCUGGACUGACACUGACACUGAGGUGCGAAAACGUGGGUAGCAAACAGGAUUAGAUACCCCAGUAGUC